CCUGAAGAUUGUUUGAAAAUGGAAACCCUAAUCAUGAGUUGUUAUUCUUGCAAAUCUUCUAAUCGGAGGUAAUUUAUUCAUUUUCUUGGUUGUUUUACAGAUUCUAGGGUUUUUUCUUUGCGGAUUUUAGAUUGAUUUAUCGUUUGAUUUCUUGUGAAUUUUCCCUCUACAUUUCUUGUUCAAUUUUCAUUACGUUUUUUUUUUUUUUCAUUCUGAGACAGUUUGAUUGAUCUUUAAUUUCUUGUAAUUUUCCGCUACUCUUAUAUCUAUUGAUUAUCAUCACAGUUUAGUUUAUUUCGAAUUAGAUACCUAGAAUCUUGUUUCACUAGGAAAUGGGUUCUUGAAGCUCACUACUGAGCUAAUUGCGACUAAUUGAUCCUUUUUGUCGAGGAUAAAAUAAUGAAUCAAGAAAUCAGAUCUGUUGUUGUUUUAACCGAUUCAUUAGUAUUUAUGCAAAUUGCAGAGAAAAACUGAAAUUCCAUCUCAAGGUAAGUUUUAAUUGAAGACGGUUCGAGUGAAAUUCCAAUUGAUUAAGAUGUGUCAGUUUGGUCAAGAAGUUCUCGUCGUUGGUGAUGAUCCGAUCCUUGGUGAUUGGGAUCCUUCAAUUGCAAUACCAUUAAAAUGGUCUAAAGGACACUUCUGGACCCUGAACUUGAUUUGCCUAUUAAUAAGUCAUUCCGGAUCAAGUUCAUACUCAAAGAUCCAAUAGGAAAGGUCAUAUGGCAACCGGACACUGGAACACUGUAGGGCUGCAUCUGAUCACUGAAGAAGAGCCACUGGCCGACUCAAACACGAAGGAACCCAUCGCUCAUCCAAUCAGUAGUGUUGUAGAAAUCAGCCAGCCAGAAGAAGAACAAAAUGUUGCAGGGGAUGGUGUGACUAGUACUGGCCGCUUUGCAACUGAUAAGAAUUUCGGCAAACUUGAGAGAUGAGGAUACUUUGCUUGAACGUAAAGCAGCUGAGCCUGUUCUUGUACCUCGAUCAAUUGCAUUACUGAUAGUAAUUGUCAAACAAGGUUUUCCGCCAGUGUUCAACAGCAGCAACAAUGUCAAAAGAGCAGCAGCUGAGAGCAGAAGAAUUGCUAAUUGUGCCAAAGCUGAAACUAAAGACAACAACAAGUCUGAGGCCAUAACGCAGAAUCAGAAGAAGGAAGAACCAGGUAAACCUGACGAAGAACAAGUUGGUGUUGGUGAUGAUAAAGACUGCCAAUCAACUAAGGUAGACUUGAGUCAGUAUACAGAUAAAGAAUUAGAGCGUUUGUCAAGAAUUCACUUUGGUGGAUCAUUUUCGCGCGACUUCCUCGAAGAUCUUGGUUUUGAUCCUAAAGAAUUUGAAUCAACUUCAGUAGUUAAAGAAUAGAAGAAACAAUACCAUUAAAAUGGUAUCAACUUCAGAUGCAAUACCAUUAAAAUGGUCUCAUGGACACCUUUUGACAGUUGAACGCGAUGUGCCAAUUGAUAAAGCGGUAACAACUGCCAAAGAAGGCCUUCGGCAAGUGUUCAAGAGCAACAACAACGUCAAAAGAGCAGCAGCCGAUAGCAAAAGUAACGCCAAUGACCUCGAAGUUGCUAUCGCCUUUUGUCAAAUAAUCCACUUUCAAUGUGCUAUAAUAUUUGAGGCCAUAACCCAGAAUCAGAAGAAGGAAGAACCAAGUAAAUGCACUACCCAACAAGAAGCAACAAGGAGGAUGUCUGAUGAACAUAACAAACCUGACAAAGAACAAGUUGGCGUUGAUGAUGAAAAAGACUGCCAAUGCAGAGUUGACAGAAGUCCUUGAUUUCCCUUCAGCAGAAGAUGAAUCCUUGAUAGCAAAACGGAACUGGGCCUGGUUUGAUGGCUCAACUAGUCUCGAACAUCUCCUUAGAUACUAUCGAUGGCAACUUUGUGAGAUACAGUAGUAAUCAGUCACAUGCCGAUUGGUUUUUUCAGUUGCAGAUAGUUCAUCGGUUACUCGUAUAACUGAAUUGUAACCUUUGGUUUUUACUGGUAUAAUACAAUGAUAGACCUGCGGUAAUUUUUGGUAAUUGUUAUUUAACAUUUGAA